AUGAACGCUGGCGGCGUGCCUAAUACAUGCAAGUCGAGCGAACGGACGAGAAGCUUGCUUCUCUGAUGUUAGCGGCGGACGGGUGAGUAACACGUGGAUAACCUACCUAUAAGACUGGGAUAACUUCGGGAAACCGGAGCUAAUACCGGAUAAUAUUUUGAACCGCAUGGUUCAAAAGUGAAAGACGGUCCUGCUGUCACUUAUAGAUGGAUCCGCGCUGCAUUAGCUAGUUGGUAAGGUAACGGCUUACCAAGGCAACGAUGCAUAGCCGACCUGAGAGAGUGAUCGGCCACACUGGAACUGAGACACGGUCCAGACUCCUACGGGAGGCAGCAGUAGGGAAUCUUCCGCAAUGGGCGAAAGCCUGACGGAGCAACGCCGCGUGAGUGAUGAAGGUCUUCGGAUCGUAAAACUCUGUUAUUAGGGAAGAACAUAUGUGUAAGUAACUGUGCACAUCUUGACGGUACCUAAUCAGAAAGCCACGGCUAACUACGUG
rnacentral:rRNA from 1 species